rnacentral:rRNA from 1 species
CCUACGGGUGGCAGCAGUGAGGAAUAUUGGUCAAUGGACGAAAGUCUGAACCAGCCAAGCAGCGUGCAGGAUGACUGCUCUAUGAGUUGUAAACUUCUUUUAUACAGGGAUAAACCCAGGUACGUGUGUCUUUUUGCAUGUACUUUAUGAAUAAGGAUCGGCUAACUCCGUGCCAGCAGCCGCGGUAAUACGGAGGAUCCGAGCGUUAUCCGGAUUUAUUGGGUUUAAAGGGUGCGUAGAUGGGUUGUUAAGUUAGUUGUGAAAGUGCGAGGCUCAACCGUAAAAUUGCCAUUGAUACUGGCAGUCUAGAGUACAGUUGAGGUAGGCGGAAUGCAUGGUGUAGCGGUGAAAUGCUUAGAGAUCACGAAGAACCCCGAUUGCGAAGGCAGCUUACUAAGCUAUGACUGACAUUGAGGCUCGAAAGUGUGGGUAGCAAACAGGAUUAGAUACCCUAGUAGUC